rnacentral:rRNA from 1 species
GGUGAACGCUGGCGGCGUGCCUAAGACAUGCAAGUCGAGCGGGGCAGGUUUAUACCUGUUCAGCGGCGGACGGGUGAGUAACGCGUGGGUGACCUACCCGGAAGAGGCGGACAACCUGGGGAAACCCAGGCUAAUCCGCCAUGUGGUCCUGUCCUGUGGGGCAGGACUAAAGGGUGGAUAGCCCGCUUCCGGAUGGGCCCGCGUCCCAUCAGCUAGUUGGUGGGGUAAAGGCCCACCAAGGCGACGACGGGUAGCCGGUCUGAGAGGAUAGCCGGCCACAAGGGGCACUGGGACACGGGCCCACCUCCACCGGGAGGCAGCAGUUAGGAAUCUUCGGCAAUGGAGGGAAUUCUGAGGGAGGGCCGCGGCUUGAAGGGGGAAGCCCUUCGGGGUUUAAACUCCGAACCUGGGACGAAAGCCCUGUGUAGGGGGAUGACGGUACCCAGGUAAUAGCGCCGGCCAACUCCGUG